CAACGCCGGAAAUCUCACCGGGGCGACAGCAAUAUGAAGGUCAGGCUGAAGACCUUACCCGAUUAGCUGAGAGGUGGUGCAUGGCCGUCGUCAGUUCGUACUGUGAAGCAUCCUGUUAAGUCAGGCAACGAGCGAGACCCACGUCCACAGUUGCCAGCAUACCCUCCGGGGUGAUGGGUACACUGCGGAGACCGCCGCUGCUAAAGCGAGGAAGGAGUGGGCAACGGUAGGUCAGUAUGCCCCGAAUCUCCCGGGCUACACGCGGGCUACAAUGGUUGGUACAAUGGGCAUCUACCCCGAAAGGGGAAGGAAAUCUCUUAAAGCCAAUCGUAGUUCGGAUUGGGGGCUGCAACUCGCCCUCAUGAAGCUGGAAUCCGUAGUAAUCGCGUUUCAACAGAACGCGGUGAAUACGUCCCUGCUCCUC
rnacentral:rRNA from 1 species